rnacentral:rRNA from 1 species
UAAUACGUAGGUGGCAAGCGUUGUCCGGAUUUACUGGGCGUAAAGCGUGUGUAGGCGGACCUUUAAGUAGAAAGUGAAAGGUAGGAGCUCAACUCCUACAUUGCUCUCUAUACUGGAGGUCUUGAGUGUCGGAGAGGAAGAUGGAACUGCACGUGUAGCGGUGAAAUGCGUUGAGAUGUGCAGGAACACCAAUGGCGAAGGCAAUCUUCUGGACGAAAACUGACGCUGAGACACGAAAGCCAAGGUAGCAAACAGGAUUAGAUACCCUGGUAGUCUUGGCCCUAAACUAUGUUCACUAGGUGUCGGGGGUUUCCCUCGGUGCCGCAGCUAACGCAUUAAGUGAACCGCCUGGGGACUACGGCCGCAAGGUUG